GUGGGUGAUGACGAUGACGAUGACGAUGAUGGCUUUGAUAUUGGCCAUAUGAGCCAAAGUUCCUGUGACAGUGAAAUGGAGCAAGAAUCGAUUGAUACAGACACAGAGAAUGCAGGCUUCCUUGAUUCAGAUGAUGAAGAAAACAGCAAUGUUUCGUAAGCAAGUAUACAGCUGAUGUGACGAUGUUGAUGUCUAUUCUAAAUGCACACGUGAAGAACUUAAUACUUCAUUUCAUUGAUUUUUUUUAUGUUCCUGUGAGCUACACACUGCACAAUAUAAUAAACUCCUGACCAGACAGCAAGACCGGUGAGAUCUCAACUAUGUUCUACAGAAAGGCCAGGAAAGCAAAACACA
rnacentral:lncRNA from 1 species